AUUGGACGCUGGCGGCAUGCCUUACACAUGCAAGUCGAACGGCAGCACGGGAGCAAUCCUGGUGGCGAGUGGCGAACGGGUGAGUAAUACAUCGGAACGUGCCCAGUAGUGGGGGAUAGCCCGGCGAAAGCCGGAUUAAUACCGCAUACGACCUGAGGGUGAAAGCGGGGGAUCGCAAGACCUCGCGCUAUUGGAGCGGCCGAUGUCGGAUUAGCUAGUUGGUGGGGUAAAGGCUCACCAAGGCAACGAUCCGUAGCUGGUCUGAGAGGACGACCAGCCACACGGGGACUGAGACACGGCCCAGACUCCUACGGGAGGCAGCAGUGGGGAAUUUUGGACAAUGGGCGCAAGCCUGAUCCAGCCAUGCCGCGUGCGGGAAGAAGGCCUUCGGGUUGUAAACCGCUUUUGUCAGGGAAGAAACGCUCUGGGCUAAUACCCCGGGGUAAUGACGGUACCUGAAGAAUAAGCACCGGCUAACUACGUGCCAGCAGCCGCAGUAAUAC
rnacentral:rRNA from 1 species